UGAAUAUUUAAAUUAGGUGUAUUCACAUUAAAUUUUGGAGUUGAACUAGACAUAUCCUUUGCAAAAUAUAGAGAAGUUGAGGGUCCAGAUGUAGGCAGCAUGUACACAGGGAUUUUCACUUGUACCCUAGAUGGUUUUCUUCUUUAAUUUUUUUCUUUUUUAAAUUGAAGUACAGUUGAUUUACAACUAUAUAUAAUACACACACACAUAUAUAAAUUGUGUUAGUUUCAGGUGGACAGCAGAAUGAUUCAAUUAUAUCUAUCUAUUCUUUUUCAUAUUCUUUGCCAUUGUAAGUUGUAACAAGAUACUGAAUAUAGUUCCUUGUGCUAUACAGUAGGACCCUGUUGUUUCCUAGAUGAUUUUCUGUUUGAGAUUCAAUUUCGGAAUUGCCCACUACCUUAACUAGGAUCAAAGGGUAUAUUCUCUAUUAAAAAUGUUUGUAUGCAUAUUAAUGUUUAUAUUUACAUACAUAAGUGUACAAAUGAAGGCAGCUGGAGGCAAGGAGGACCCGAGGCAUCGUCCACUACUUAACGCAGCAAACUCGACUCACAGAUGAUUUUUAAAUGUGUAAGAAUGUAGACUGUGUUUACCAGUACAGCCUGAGUAGAUGAUUUUACAUUUCCUUUUUUUCGGGACAUUAACCAAGGGAAAUGAUGAAGCUUUCUCUCAGGUCUUAAUAAGGCCACAGUGUUUUAUGUCAAUUUCUACAUGAAGACCUAGAACCACCUGCCUUGGGGCAUUCAACAGCAGAACUGUGGCAGCUGGUCAGAGAAGCAGGUGGGUGCUCAGAUGCUCAGAGCAUCACAGAAUUGGAAAACCUGGCUUAAGCACCAGUUUUGCUACCGUGUGACUUGGGGCAACUCCUCUAACUUCCCUACACCACAGACUCCUCAUCCAGAAAACUGAGACCAUGAGAGUGAUCUCCAAGGAUGGUUUUCCUCUGAAGAAAUGAGAUGAUGCACAGAGAAUGCCAGCAUGGAGGCUGGCGUAUUGUGUGCACUCCCCUACGCUAUGUGUUCGAGUACCAGCUGAACAUCCCCUCUGCCUGUGCUUCACUUUUGACUGAGCUCCCAAGAGCAAGAACAAGAAGAGAAGCUUCUACAGAGGAAAUGGGACUUGACUGAAUACUUAAAAAUGUGUUGAAUUUCAGAGAACGGAGUAAAGGAAAUAAGCAGUGUCAGGAUGGAGCCCCGAGGAAGGAGAGCCAGGCAGAGGCGAGCCUGACAAGGCUUGUAUUUAGGAGACCAAUGAUAGGCCAGGAAUGGCUUUCCCUCCAGGGAGAUAAUGAACAUCCACAGUGCCUGGUACUCCCGCCAUCAGCCAGUGACCAUCAGUGUAUCUCCAGGCAGAGGCAGAAGGCAGGGGAGACUUCUCUCCUUCUGCCCUGAAGAGAGAGCAGAGCAGGAAGUCAACGAACACGCAUCUAGCUGGCAACCUACAUAAGAUGUACCUUGGGGUUUAGGGGAGACACCGUCACAGAAAAGCAGGAGGAAGAUCACCCCUAACUCUCUCCCGUCAAGCCUUCUCAAUGCAGAGAAAGUAUGAACAAUUAUCAGACUUCCAGACACCCUCCCAAUCCUAUGAAUUCUUUAACUUCACCUAUGAAGGCAGAAAUCCACAGGCAGACCCAGGAAUGGAUGUGCCCCGCUAAGAAAGAGCCAUAGAGAAAGUCUGCUUUGGGCACUGAAGCUGCUCUCCAGGUUCACUGUACAAGAAGAGGAAGUCAUGGGCAAGAGCUUUCAAAAUAAAUCUGUGAAUAUUCUUUUGAUUUUGAAUUAGAAGCAAUGUAAUAUCAGCAUUAGCAUUAAUGCCAAUCCCUGAGUAAUAUCUUGGGGAAGUCCAGCAGAGAUAACAAAAGCAAAAACAUAAAUACUCAUGCUUUUUACUUCUGAACAUACUUUAAAUGGAGUUUCAAGCUGCCACAUGGUGACCAAUAUUUAAGACUUACAUAAAACUCCUCUGUAUACUUUAAUACAUUAAAAUAUAAAUGUAUAUAUGUAUGUAUAAUAUAUAUAUGAUCUAAAUAAAUGGAUAAGGCAAUGAGAAUUUCCAUUACAAUGCAACAAGGAGAAUGGAAAUGAAUAUUUAAAUAAAUCAUAACAAUAUUGUAAGUCAUUAAAAAAUGAA